GACGAACGCUGGCGGCGUGCUUAACACAUGCAAGUCGAACGGAAAGGCCCCUUUGGGGGUACUCGAGUGGCGAACGGGUGAGUAACACGUGAGUAACCUGCCCUUGACUUCGGGAUAACUUCAGGAAACUGGGGCUAAUACCGGAUAGGAAUCCUUGCUGCAUGGUGGGGGUUGGAAAGCUUCGGCGGGUUUGGAUGGGCUCGCGGCUUAUCAGCUUGUUGGUGGGGUAGUGGCUUACCAAGGCUUUGACGGGUAGCCGGCCUGGGAGGGCGACCGGCCACAUUGGGACUGAGAGACGGCCCAGACUCCUACGGGAGGCAGCAGUGGGGAAUAUUGCACAAUGGGCGGAAGCCUGAUGCAGCAACGCCGCGGGCGGGAUGACGGCCUUCGGGUUGUAAACCGCUUUCAGCAGGGGCGAAGCUUGUGGUGACGGUACCUGCAGAAGAAGCACCGGCUAACUACGUG
rnacentral:rRNA from 1 species